AAGGGAGCGUAGACGGCAAAGCAAGUCUGAAGUGAAAGCCCCGGGCUCAACCUGGGAACUGCUUUGGAAACUGUUUUACUAGAGUGCUGGAGAGGCAAGCGGAAUUCCUAGUGUAGCGGUGAAAUGCGUAGAUAUUAGGAGGAACACCAGUGGCGAAGGCGGCUUGCUGGACAGUAACUGACGUUGAGGCUCGAAAGCGUGGGGAGCAAACAGGAUUAGAUACCCCUGGUAGUCCACGCCGUAAAC
rnacentral:rRNA from 1 species